UACAGAGGUGGCGAGCGUUAUUCGGAAUUAUUGGGCGUAAAGGGCGCGUAGGCGGCCCUGUAAGUCAACGGUGAAAUCCCUCGGCUCAACCGAGGACGUGCCGUUGAUACUGCAGGGCUCGAGGCCGGGAGAGGGUAGUGGAAUUCCCAGUGUAGCGGUGAAAUGCGUAGAUAUUGGGAGGAACACCGGUGGCGAAGGCGGCUACCUGGACCGGUUCUGACGCUGAUGCGCGAAAGCGUGGGGAGCAAACAGG
rnacentral:rRNA from 1 species